UACAGAGGGGGCAAGCGUUGUUCGGAAUUACUGGGCGUAAAGCGCACGUAGGCGGCUUUGUAAGUUAGAGGUGAAAGCCCGGGGCUCAACUCCGGAACUGCCUUUAAGACUGCAUCGCUUGAAUCAUGGAGAGGUCAGUGGAAUUCCGAGUGUAGAGGUGAAAUUCGUAGAUAUUAGGAAGAACACCAGUGGCGAAGGCGGCUCACUGGUCCGGUACUGACGCUGAGGUGCGAAAGCGUGGGGAGCAAACAGG
rnacentral:rRNA from 1 species